GGCUGUUAUUAUAUUGAUUAAAAUUUCACACCUUAAAUGCAUUGCUAAGUGGAAGGCAAUUUAGAAUCAUAUUCAAAACAGUGUGGCUGUGGCCAUUGAUUGACGACCUAAAUUAUUCCAUUGACUGGAACAGAUUAUGUGAACGUGUGUCUGUAAGGACCACUGUUCACUAUGUACUUGUUAAAGACACUUAAACUGUGGGGUCACUAAAGGUUCUCAACACCUAAAUAAAGUAAUUCGAACAAGAGCUGUCAAAAUGACAGUAAACCGGAUUCUUUAACAUUUAUUUGUGUUCUGGCAUUUAUCAAUAUUACAAGGACCAAAACUCCUAAUAGGAAAUUUUAAAAGGUUUGGUUGAACGGUUCAUGAGUAAAUGCACGGACACAACAUUUUUUAAACUUUCAAGAACCGUAACUCCUGAACGGUAAAAGUCAAAAUCGUCAUUAUUGAACUUGACCUCCAUUUUGUUGUCAGUAACAACAUAUUAAAAUUUUAAAAGGUUUGGUUGACUGGUUCAUGAGUAAAUGCACGGACACGACAUUUUUUAAACUUUCAAGAACCAUAACUCUGAACGGUAAAAGUAAAAAUCGUCAUUAUUGAACUUGACCUCCGUUAUGUUGUCAGUAACAACAUAUUAAAAUUUUAAAAGGUUUGGUUGAACGGUUCAUGAGUAAAUGCACGGACA
rnacentral:lncRNA from 1 species